CUCGGCUCAUUGCAACCUCCGCCUCCUGGGUUCAAGCAAUUCUCCUGCCUCAGCCUCCUGAGUAGCUGGGAUUACAGGCGCCCGCCACCACUCCCAGCUAAUUUUUGUAUUUUUAGUAGGGACGAGGUUUCACCAUGUUGGUCAGGCUGGUCUCAAACUCCUGACCUCGUGAUCUGCCCUCCUUGGCCUUCCAAAGUGCUGGGAUUACAGGCGUGAUGGAGAUGAUACUCCCUAAAUCACAAGGGUGUGGUGUGAAGAUGAAAUGGCUGCACGUGACAGAGGAGUUGGAGAACAGGAAGCAAGUGGAUUACUUGGAUGAACUGUGAUGGGCCCAAGAAGAACUAAGCCAAUCACUCCAGGGGGCGUUUUCCCAGGAUCCAGGCAGAGAGCUGAUUCCAGCAUCCACGUUGUAUCCCCCUCCCGCUGUGGCCGGGGUCUCCAAGAGCCGGGCACCCACUGCAGAGCUUCCAAGCCCAGGCCCAUUUGAACACAGGAGGACUUUUGAGGUUCAUUUAACCCCAAAAUCAGUGAUUCUACAUCUCAAGCUCAUAUUUUGAAGUGUUUACGGUCUCGAGCUCCAGUUCCCUGCCAGGAAGAGCUGAAGCUGAGCUCUGGCACCCCCUGCUUCUUCUCCCUCAUCCCUAAAACAUGUGGGGUACUGGGUGCCAAAGGAGAUCUGAAGAUGGCCACCACUCAGACCAGCAGUAGAGGCCAAGAAGGUGGUGAGAAAUUUUAAGGUAUUGUAGCAUAUGCUCUCCAGGGUGAGGACACAGGAUGCUGGGACCUAAGGAGGGAGAAGUUAACCCAGAGAGGGCCCAAGUCAGGGAGGACCUGACUGUGGUGACAGAGCCAGUCAUGCUAAUAAUAGGAGCAGUGGUUUUGCAAUCACAAAUAUUGGUCUGGGGGACUGCGGGCCCAAUGUGGUGGGAGUUUUAGAGCAGGGACCCCUCCACUGUACGUGGAUUCUUAUACUUGCUAAGUUGCACUGAAUUCUCAAUCAACCCAUUUGGAGGCUCUCACCAAGACAGGAGUCCCUUUGAAUUGGUAGGAUGUUAAAAGCUUCCUCCAGCCAUUGACCCUGGGUCCCAUUGGUAGAAAUCAGAUAAUAAAUCAGAUUUUCCAGGUAAUCCUCAGUUUAAUGUCCAUUCCCUCAUUCAAUCAAUUAUUCAAUUACAAAUCAUUUUUAAUAUGAUUUUAUGGUUCAGGAAUUCAGGCAGGGCUCAGAUGGGCAGUUCUUCUGCCCCACAUGGCAUUGGCUGAUAACAGGCUACCCCAAGGAAAUCACAGUGUAAUGGGAGAUGGGAAAUAGGUUAACACAAAGUUACUAUACUACAAGAAAAAUCUUCAAAUCUUCAAUCUUCAUUCUUCAUGGGUGUGAGUCUUCUCUGGUGGAGAAGAGAGUUCUUUGCUAAAUUAUAUUCCUGUGUUAGCCAGCCAAGCACACACGGAGUACAGCUGUCCCUUGCUAUUCAUGGCAGAUUGAUCCCAGACACUGCCACCCCCAGCCCUGUGAACACCAAAACCCAUGGAUGCUCAAGUCCUUGAUAUAAAAUGGUAUGGUAUUUGCACAUAACCUACACACAUCUUCCCAUAUACUUUAAAUCAUCACUAGAUUACUUAUAAUACCUAAUGCAAUGUAAAUGCUAUGUAAGUAGUUGCUACGCUGUAUUGCUUAGGGAAUAAUGACAAGAAAAAAAGGCUGUACAACUUCAGUACAAAUGCUAUCAUUCAUUUUUUUAUCUGAAUAUUAUGAUCCAUGAAUACAGAGGGCUGGCUGUAAAAAGAAUGUACAGUUUGGUACUUUACUCCUAGUUUAAGUCAUCUCUUUCGGCCCAUACAGGUUGCCUGGGGCAGGGCGGUGGUGAGUGUGUUGAGUCGGCCCUAUACCCUGUUCCACAAUGCCUGGUGUCCUUGGCACGUAGCUUGCAGGGCUGCUUCCAUGGAUGGCUGCCUCAUCCCCCACCCCUCCUUCAUGGCACCCUCUUUUCUCCAACUCCUUUUCCUCUGCUGAGUCCUACCUUUUCUUGCCAGACCAGGGAUUUGCCAAUUAUUCUGGAUGGGCACAGGGAAGGGGCCCUCAGAUCCUGCAGAGGGAGCAUCUGAAAGACAAUGAGACCCUGUACACAACCAAGCUGAGCCUCCUGUAAGCACAUCCUCUGGGUGUCACUAUGCGAAAAGACUCUUUGUCUGUUUACAUUGCACAACGAAUUGUCCCUCUGAUUGUCCUAGCGUUGGUGCAUGCAUGGAUCCAGGAAGAGCAGGUAUUUGGACCCAACGAGACAGGUUCAUCUUGGCAGUUUGUCUCCUGUGGUUGCUUUGUGCCUGCCCCGUAUCUAUCCACCCAACUUCUGGCAGCAAUCCCUCCAGGACCCACCUCUGUCUUCAUGGUUUGUGUGUUCUGAUCCUGCUCCUUGGCCCCAGAAUACACCCUCCACAUCUAAGCUAUGCAGUGCCUCAUCCCCACAGCUGCAGCGAUUGGUUUAGGAAUGGGAAAAUAAUCCAAUCAAAGUAAGAUUGUCUAAUAUCUGAUCCCGCUUACCCCGGAGCCAGAAGUCCCACCUUUCCAGGCUCCUCCAUGUUCCUUUCUGGAGCAAUGAGGAGGAAGGUUCAUUCCCUUCUCAGGGAACUUGCUGCGGUGUCCCAGUCCUGACUGUCCCCUCUCUACCCCUGCCUGUGGCUCUCCCGUCUCCUGGCAUUCUAACCUGCCACUGAAUUCUUCCCACGCCAAACGCAGGUUAGGAACCUAAGCUCGGAUGAAAUGCUGGCUUAGACCUCAUUGCUACUGAGAAGCAGAAACCACACUUUUUAGUUGGUAGAGGUGGAUGUGGAUUGGGGCCAUAAAGUUUCCUCAAUCAUUGAAUAAGGAUUUCAUUAUUUGGACUAACUAAAUACAUUAGAUUAUUUAUACUAACUAAAUAAAUUAGAUUUAUUUUUCGAAGUUUAAAAUCAUUUUCAAUAGUGACGAAAAAGGCUGUAGAUGAGAUGGGAGAAUCUUUCGACGCCAAAUUCUUCCCAUCUCCUGCCUAGUAUGUAUCACUACACCUUGCCCAGAGAGACUGUAGGGGUGCUCAGCAAAAACCAUGGCUGGUUGAUUCCCUGGAAAAAGGGGUGCUGUCCCAGGGAGCUCUGUGCCCUUCCUGCCAACACUGGGGUCUAGAGGAGGCAAGUUCCCCUCUGAAGGUGAGUAUGAUUCACUCAUUAAAACUAAGAAAUUUACAUUGGUAUGUUACUGUUAACUAACCUACAGACUUUUUUUAGAUUUCACCGUUCUUUACACUCUCGUCCUUUCCAAUUUCCGGGAUCCAAUGCAGGAUACCAGGUUGCAUUUUUGGAUGUGUCCAGUCUGUGAUCAUUUCUCAAUCUUUCCUCAUUUUCUCAUGACUUUUGACAUUUAUUUAUUUAUUUAUUGUGUGAGACUGAGUCUCACUCUGUUGCCUAGGCUGGAGUGCAGUGGCCCCAUCCUGGCUCACUACAAUCUCCACCUCCCGGGUUCAAAUGAUUCUCCUGCCUCAGCCUCCCAAGCAGCUGGGAUUACAGGCGCACACCACCACGCCUGGCUAAUUUGUAUUUUUAGUAGAGAUGGGGUUUCACCAUGUUAGCCAGGCUGGUCUCAAACUCCUGACUUCAGGUGAUCUGCCUGCCUCGGCCUCCCAAAGUGCUAGGAUUACAGGCGCAGGCCACCACGCCCAGCCUGACUUCUGACAUUAGAGUACAGGGAGGGAUUCUGUAGAAUGUCCCUCAAUUUGGGUGUGUCUGGUGUUUUGCCAUGAGACUGGGGUUAUGCUUCUGGGUGCCACACAGAGGUGAAAUGUCCUUCUCAUCACAUUAUUCGAGAGGUACAUGGUACCAAUGGGACUUAUCGCUGCUGAUGUUAACCUUGAUCUCUUGGUUCAGGUGGUGCCUGCCAGCUGUCUCCACUGUGGAGUUACUAUUUUUCCUUUUCCCCAUUUUAUUCAUCAGAAGCCAGUCACUAAGCGAGGUCAAACUCCAGGACAGGGGAAUUAAGUGCCACCUUCUGGAGAGGGAGCAUUCACAUUUAUUACUUGGGAUCCUUCUGUAAGGAAGAGCUGUUUCUCCUCUAAAAAACUCUUUAAUCCUUUUAAGCCUCAAUUUCUUAAUUGUGAAAUGGGGCUAAUACCUGUAUCCAACCAAGGGAGUAGUUAGAAGGUAACAUGAUAGGUGGAAAGCACUUAACAUAGGCAAAAUGUUAUUAUCAGGAAUGAUCGAGAGACCCAUCCAACUAUCUGAAGGAGUCACUUAACUCUACUGUACUGCAGCGCUGUAAAGUCUGCAUCUUUCACUGGGGGUAAAGGCCCCCAGUCCCUGAGACGGGCCAGUUUGGAGACAGGCUGGUUUUUUCUCUGUUCUCCUGAGAGCCCUUCAGAUGAGAAGGGAGGUCUGGAGACAGAAUGCCAAAAGCCCAUUAAAGGCACGGCCUUGCAUUUCAGAGAGGGAGCAGGUCUAGAGAAGAACCAGAGGAGCUCAGCUGAGAUAUGGUGUAUGGAUUGGAUUUUGGUAGAAGAUGGGAAGAACCAAACACCUGAGAAACCACUUUGAAGAUCGGGGUCAGAGUAAGGCCUAACACAUAGUUGGCUCCCAGUAAUUAUUGGUUGAUUGAACAGCUCAAAGAGCAACUCGACCAAGAACACUGGACUGGGAGUCCAGUUACUUGGAUCUUGCAUUCCUGAUUUAUUUUUAUUUUAUAUGUAUUUUUUCUAUUUUUUUGAGACGAAGUCUCACUCACUCUGUCGCCCAGGCUGGACUACAAUGGCACGAUCUCGGCUCACUGCAAACUCUGCCUCCCAGGUUCAAGCGAUUCUCCUGCCUCAGCCUCUCGAGUAGCUAGGAUUACAGGCAUGCACCACCACGCUGGCUAAUUUUUGUAUUUUUAGUAGAGACGGGGUUUUGCCAUGUUGGCCAUGCUGGUGUCCACCUCCUGACCUCAGUUGAUCUUCCUGCCUCAGCCUUCCAAAAUGUUGGGAUUACAGGCGUGAGCCACCGUGCCUGGCCGUGAUUUAUUUUUUUUGUGUAUGUUUGUUUUUGUCAACUUGCUGUGUGACCUUAAGCAAGUUACUUAACUUCUCUGGGCUUCACUUUCCAUGGAUGAACAUUGUAAAGAGGCUGGAGAGAGAUGAGGACUAGGUACAGGCUUUAGAGGAGAGCCACCGCCCCGGACUUCUCCCUCUGUCACCCCGCUUUCCAUGACCCUCCUUGCCUGACUUUGUGACUCCUUGCCUCGCUAUCAAAACAAGUGCUGCAAUCUCAGUGCUUUCCAAGAGCCCUGCAUUGUUAGAAACUUCCCAGCACGCAGCAAAGGCUGCUGCAAUACUCGCUCUGCCUGCCUUUGCCCUGCGCUUCCUACUUACCCUCCUUUUGUUUCUCCCAAACAUCUGUCCCUGACUAUGCUCAUCUCAUGUUUGUCCUCAGCUGCUGAAAGGGCCACGUUUGUUUUCAUUACAAAUAAGACCACCGAGUGGGCUCCUGGCGUGGGGGCGGGACCAGCCGCGCGCAGUCUUCAGAGGCAGCCCCCCAGGCUGUCUCUGGAGGGUGUGUCUCUGCUUCCCUUUCCCCGUGUUUAUUUUCAGACGAAGCCAAGUGGCCCGGGGGGACCCUCCGGACUCCCAGCCUUCAGAGAGGAGGGCAGCUCGGGCUUUCGCCGCAGUGCUUCCUGCCCGUCACGUGUGUGCUCCUAGCCGGGGUCGGGGGAGCUGGUAUCUUGGCCCUUCUGGGAGGACGCGCACAGCCCGAGGAGGCAGAGCCCCAGACGGGAAUGGGCUUUUCAGAGGUGGGGUGCGGGCGAGGGGACGAUGCAUUAUUUUUAAUAUUUGAUUUAUUUUUCCAACUGGACUUCUUCCCGGGGCUCUUUCUGGGCCCAGCUGCCUUUGUGAUCCCGCGCCCCGGUCCUCGGCCUCUCACCUCCAGCGCCGGGGCGCCCCCUGCUGUCGGAAGCGGCUGUGACCGGGCAGAGGUGCUAUCUGGGACUCUGGGUUCUCAGCCCGGGGACAGCGAACCGAGGGGCAGAUGAUCCAUCAGAAAAGAGCCGGCACUGCCCAGCCCCGCGCCCCUGCCCCUGCCUUUUUCCGGGAGCGCGCCGCGCCGCACCCGCUACGGCCGCUUGACCCCAUCUUUGAGCCCGGCCCCAAGCUCUGGGACCGUCGUGCCCCUCAUCAAGGAAGAGCCAAGGACCCCAAGGAGAAGAGAAAGGAGUUCAUGAAGGCAGAAAUGCCUGGGGCCCACGAACAUCCCAGUGUGGCCCUGGACGGGACAUCAUGCUGGGCAACACAGCUAAAAUGCGGGUGAAGACCAGAUUUCUUGCACAUGGCGGUGACGGGAUGCUCCCUAGAGAGCUUCAAGUGGAUUCUUUGCUUUUUAUUUUCUCUCUUAAUAAAAAUGUAUGAUGUUUACAUUGUCAGAGAACAAACAGAA
rnacentral:lncRNA from 1 species